AGGGCGGGUUCCUGCUAAGUGGUCUGUAUAGCACCACUGAUGUGCAAAACAAGAAGUAAAAAUGCCAGAGUUCCUCCUCCUCUCAUUUUUCGUGGUAUAUGGACAGAACUGGUGGAAUGUGAGACUCAGGGGAUAAGAAAGAUGUGGCACUCGAUUCUGCUUUUUAAAGAGUAUCCUAAUUUUUCAGGUGACAUGGAAGUCAUCUUGACCUAGAGCUCUAGAACUGUGAACAAUCUUAUCUCUACUUAACCUGCAAAACCAUCAGAUAUUUCUGGGCAGAGAAUACAAAGCUACAGGGGCCAGCAACAUGACAAAUGGUAUAAUAUGUUAAUUAAAUCAGCAUAGUACAAUACCAUUGUGUUCCUGGGUAGCCUUUUUCAU